AUACCGCAUACGUCCUACGGGAGAAAGCAGGGGACCCUCGGGCCUUGCGCUAUCGGAUGAGCCUAGGUCGGAUUAGCUAGUUGGUGAGGUAAUGGCUCACCAAGGCUACGAUCCGUAACUGGUCUGAGAGGAUGAUCAGUCACACUGGAACUGAGACACGGUCCAGACUCCUACGGGAGGCAGCAGUGGGGAAUAUUGGACAAUGGGCGAAAGCCUGAUCCAACAGAGGCCGCGUGUGUGAAGAAGGUCUUCGGA
rnacentral:rRNA from 1 species